rnacentral:rRNA from 1 species
CCGACGGUGAGGGGUGAAAGCUGGGGGAGCAAACCGGAUUAGAUACCCGGGUAGUCCCAGCCGUAAACGAUGUGCGUUAGGUGUAUCGGUGACCACGAGUCACCGAGGUGCCGAAGAGAAAUCGUGAAACGUACCGCCUGGGGAGUACGGUCGCAAGGCUGAAACUUAAAGGAAUUGGCGGGGGAGCACCACAACAGGUGGAGCCUGCGGUUUAAUCGGACUCAACGCCGGAAAACUCACCAGAUAAGACAGCUGAAUGAUAGUCGGGCUGAAGACUCUACUUGACUAGCUGAGAGGAGGUGCAUGGCCGUCGUCAGUUCGUACUGUGAAGCAUCCUGUUAAGUCAGGCAACGAGCGAGACCCACGCCAACAGUUGCU